UUCGGAUUGAAGGCUGAAAUUCGCCUUCAUGAAGUCGGAAUUGCUAGUAAUGGCAGGUCAGCAUACUGCCGUGAAUACGUUCCCGGGCCUUGUACACACCGCCCGUCACACCAUGAGAGUUGGAGAUACCCGAAGCCUAUGAGCUAACUUUUAGAGGCAGUAGUCGAAGGUAGAAUCAAUGAUUGGGGUGAAGUCGUAACAAGGUAAC
rnacentral:rRNA from 1 species